rnacentral:rRNA from 1 species
GACGAACGCUGGCGGCGCGCCUAACACAUGCAAGUCGAGCGGAGAUACUUGAAGGAAGUUUUCGGAUGGAAUUUGAGUAUUUUAGCGGCGGACGGGUGAGUAACGCGUGAGUGACCUGCCUUCCACAGGGGGAUAACGUACCGAAAGGUACACUAAUACCGCAUGAGACCACAGCACUGCCUGGUGCAGGGGCCAAAGGAGCAAUCCGGUGGAAGAUGGACUUGCGUCCGAUUAGAUAGUUGGUGGGGUAACGGCCUACCAAGUCAGCGAUCGGUAGCCGACCUGAGAGGGUGAUCGGCCACAUUGGAACUGAGAGACGGUCCAAACUCCUACGGGAGGCAGCAGUGGGGAAUAUUGGGCAAUGGGGGAAACCCUGACCCAGCGACGCCGCGUGAGGGAAGAAGGUUUUCGGAUUGUAAACCUCUGUUCUUGGUGAAGAGGGAAAGACGGUAGCCAAGGAGGAAGCCCCGGCUAACUACGUGCCAGCCGCCGCAGUAA